GUGGUAGAAGCACUAUGACAUGAACGAGUGGCAUGUAGAAUAAUUGAGACAUUUACUACAAUGACUGAACGAGUGGCAUCGAGUCUAGUGUAGUAAACUUGACAUGAACCUAGGGAUAGUAGAGGUCCCAACAUUGAUUAUAUAUCAUGAUUGUGCAGCAGAGGCACAUUGACCCUAGUAAACAGGGUAUCCUCUUGAGAGGAUUGGAUCAUACUCACUAGUCUGUUUCGCUUGUCGGUGGUCGCUCCACCGAAGCACGAGUCUCCGAAGUAUCUCACAGGG
rnacentral:lncRNA from 1 species